CUCGGGUAAGUGAACAACUUGACCCAAGACAUUUCAUUCAUUUAAAAGAAAGUCAAGGCGGGGGAAAACAGUAUAGACGUUGUACGAGAGCCAGUGGCAACAUGUUCAGCUAUUUCAUGCGGUGUGACCAUUACUGUAUCAUCGGAGUAUAAGGUGAACGAACAGUGGGUAAUAUUCAAGAACCACACAGCCAUGAGAAUAACGGAAUGGAACACCGAAGAUCAUAAAUACGCUGCGUCUAAUACCAGAUAUCCGCCCAACUGUACCUCAUGGUGCAAUUUUACUAUCACAUUGGAGAUCAACAAACUAACUCAUAAGCAGGAUUAUGGGCUGUAUCAACUCAUUCUCCGCUCAUUUGAUGAUCAAGGCCAGAAAAGUAAACGAGUGUUGAACAUCACCGUGCCAUCCAAGCAACAAGAAGUUUCCGUUAAGACCUCACAAAAACCAGAAGAUACUUUGACAUCGGUACAAGAACUGUCGUUUUCGACGAUCAUGGUGAUUGCUGUAGCAGGGACCAGUAUUACCAUCAUCAUCUGUUUAACCGUGUGUUUGAUUGUCUUCUGCAGGGGAAGGAAGGCACAAAAAAAGAAAAAAUGAUAACAGAAAGCACAGACAGAGUUCCCUAGGUGUGUCUACUCACCUGUACGAUGAGGUGGAGUCCGUGGCCCGUAAUGCAUACUGUGAGCUAAACGAGGAGGCUCAGAAAACCUCCAAUCACCAGUACAUACAGCCAAUUCCUGAAGAAGCGCCAAUGUACAAAGCCCCAGAAAUCUUUUCAAACACGGAAUCACCGACCAACAUAAGGGCCACGCCCCCAGAUACUACGAAUGAUGCUAUGGGAUAUUUACAACCCUCCGUGAAAUUUAGGCCAGAAAUGGCAAUGUUUAAUCAGCUUUAUGAAGAGGCCAAUAAACCUAAACCAAAGAAACCUCUAGAACCAACAUACAGCAAUUCACAAAAAAUGCCAAAAUUUCCAAAGAAAGAAGAGCAGCCAAAAUCAUCUGAAAAGCUAAUCCUUAAAACAGAUUUAGAAAUUGGUAAACGCAGCGAAGUAGUGUACGCUCAGCCUCAUCAACAUCUAAAGUCAGAUGUCCAGAAGUCUUUUUGUAAUGAUUCCAGCAAUAUAAUGCAACAUGAGCCUAUGUAUGGUAAUGAAAAUAGAACGCCGCCUAUACCAGUAAAAGUUUUGAAAACAACGAUUAUUGAAAGGAAACAAAGUCAAAGAGAAACAUCAAGCACAAACUCAACUACACCAAGUGUUCCUCCAAAACCAGUCUGUAGAAUUAUUCCAAACCAGUUAUAUGACGAGAGAGAAGGCAUGUACAAUAAAAAAAGACAAGUUAUAGCAACCUACAGUAAUCCCACAAAAUUGCCAACUAAAACAUAUUCCAGGUCCAAAUCCGACGAUACUGAGUUAUCCCGCGUGCACUCAUAUAAAUGACAAAAUCUAACACAGAGGAAUAGAAUCCAGAUUCAAUUUUGCCAAUUUAUGUGAUAAACUGUCUAUACUCAAUAUAUUUAUUUUCCUGACACUGAACAAUAAAACAAAUAUUUG
rnacentral:misc_RNA from 1 species